rnacentral:rRNA from 1 species
AGAGUUUGAUCAUGGCUCAGAACGAUGCCGGCGGCAGGCCUAACACAUGCAAGUCGAGCGCACUCUUCGGAGUGAGCGGCGGACGGGUUAGUAACGCGUGGGAACAUACCCUUUUCUACGGAAUAGCCUCGGGAAACUGAGAGUAAUACCGUAUACGCCCUUCGGGGGAAAGAUUUAUCGGUGAAGGAUUGGCCCGCGUUUGAUUAGAUAGUUGGUGGGGUAAUGGCCUACCAAGUCUACGAUCAAUAGCUGGUUUGAGAGGAUGAUCAGCAACACUGGGACUGAGACACGGCCCAGACUCCUACGGGAGGCAGCAGUGGGGAAUCUUAGACAAUGGGCGCAAGCCUGAUCUAGCCAUGCCGCGUGAGUGACGAAGGCCUUAGGGUCGUAAAGCUCUUUCGCCAGGGAUGAUAAUGACAGUACCUGGUAAAGAAACCCCGGCUAACUCCGUGCCAGCAGCCGCGGUAAUACGGAGGGGGUUAGCGUUGUUCGGAAUUACUGGGCGUAAAGCGUACGUAGGCGGAUUGGAAAGUAUGGGGUGAAAUCCCAGGGCUCAACCCUGGAACUGCCCUGUAAACUAUCAGUCUAGAGUUCGAGAGAGGUGAGUGGAAUUCCAAGUGUAGAGGUGAAAUUCGUAGAUAUUUGGAGGAACACCAGUGGCGAAGGCGGCUCACUGGCUCGAUACUGACGCUGAGGUGCGA